rnacentral:rRNA from 1 species
AUAAUAAUUUGUCCUAUAAUUAAGGAAUUGAAUGAAUGAUUUAAUGAAAAAAUUAUUGUCUCAAAUUUAAUAUUAAAAUUUAUUUUUUAAGUUAAAAAACUUAAAUAGAAUUAAAAGACGAGAAGACCCUAUAGAACUUAAUAUUUUUAAUUUUUUAUUUAAAAUUUAAAAAUAUUUAAUUGGGAGGAUUAUUAAAUUUAAUUAACUUUAAUAAAAAUAAAAAUAUAUAAAUUUAAAUUAAAAGAUCCAAAAUUUUUGAUUUUCAAAAAAAGUUACCUUAGGGAUAACAGCAUAAUUUUUUUAAAUAGUUCAUAUUGAUAAAAAAGUUUAU